CACCGUUUACUAGAAAAUCAGUAUCCUACUCGGAUAACUGUGGCAAUUCUAGAGCUAAUACGUGCGAAAAAGCUCGUUUCGCAAGAUUCGAGCGCAUUUAUUAGAAUAAAAACCAAUCGGGCCCAUAAAGCCCGUAAUUUGGUGAAUCUGAAUAACUUUGCCGAUCGCACGGUCCUAGUACCGGCGACGUAUCUUUCAAGUGUCUGCCUUAUCAACUUUCGAUGGUAGGUUAUACGCCUACCAUGGUAGUAACGGGUAACGGAGAAUAAGGGUUCGACUCCGGAGAGGGAGCCUGAGAAACGGCUACCACAUCCAAGGAAGGCAGCAGACGCGCAAAUUACCCACUUCCAGAACGGAGAGGUAGUGACGAAAAAUAACGAGACAGUCCUCUUCGAGGUCUGUCAUCGGAAUGGGUACAAUUUAAAUCCUUUAACGAGGAUCUAUUGGAGGGCAAGUCUGGUGCCAGCAGCCGCGGUAAUUCCAGCUCCAAUAGCGUAUAUUAAAGUUGUUGCGGUUAAAACGCUCGUAGUUGGAUCUGCGGCCUCGGAGAACGGUCCCCCGAAAGGGCGGUCACUGUUACUCCAAGCCUAUAUAUCUAGUCUACUCUACGGUGCUCUUAACCGAGUGCCUAGAGUGACUGGAACGUUUACUUUGAAAAAAUUAGAGUGCUUAAAGCAGGCGAAAUAGCCUGAAUAAGGUGCAUGGAAUAAUGGAAUAGGACCUCGGUUCUAUUUUGUUGGUUUUCGGAGCCCGAGGUAAUGAUUAAGAGGAACAGACGGGGGCAUUCGUAUUCCGGCGCUAGAGGUGAAAUUCUUGGACCGCCGGAAGACGGACGACUGCGAAAGCAUUUGCCAAGAAUGUUUUCAUUAAUCAAGAACGAAAGUUAGAGGUUCGAA
rnacentral:rRNA from 1 species